rnacentral:rRNA from 1 species
GCCACACUGGGACUGAGACACGGCCCAGACUCCUACGGGAGGCAGCAGUGGGGAAUAUUGCACAAUGGGCGAAAGCCUGAUGCAGCGACGCCGCGUGAGGGAUGACGGCCUUCGGGUUGUAAACCUCUUUCAGCAGGGAAGAAGCGAAAGUGACGGUACCUGCAGAAGAAGCGCCGGCUAACUACGUGCCAGCAGCCGCGGUAAUACGUAGGGCGCAAGCGUUGUCCGGAAUUAUUGGGCGUAAAGAGCUCGUAGGCGGUUUGUCACGUCGGGUGUGAAAGCCCGGGGCUUAACCCCGGGUCUGCAUUCGAUACGGGCAGACUAGAGUGUGGUAGGGGAGAUCGGAAUUCCUGGUGUAGCGGUGAAAUGCGCAGAUAUCAGGAGGAACACCGGUGGCGAAGGCGGAUCUCUGGGCCAUUACUGACGCUGAGGAGCGAAAGCGUGGGAGCGAACAGGAUUAGAUACCCUGGUAGUCCACGCCGUAAACGUUGGGAACUAGGUGUUGGCGACAUUCCACGUCGUCGGUGCCGCAGCUAACGCAUUAAGUU